GGCGGAGCAAAAUGGCAGGGUGAGCUGACCUGGGAUUCUCUCCCCUCCAAAAUACAACAAAGGAUUGGAAAAACUGAAUUUCAGAGAAUAAACCUAAUGCCAGCACGUUACAGACCUACAAUACCAAGAAGGCGGAGAUCUUAAACCCUACUUACGGCCUCGGAGGCGCUGGAACGAUAACUCUGGAUGCUCACUCAGCACAUCGUGUGGUGGGACUAACUCAGCUGUGAGCACUGAAGUUCACAGCAGCCCCAGGGAGGACUCAGUUCACACUCGGCAGCAGCAGAAGGCAGAAUCCCCACAAGACGUGAAAGAACCGACUCUGCUGGUCAGCAGGAGGCCAGAGGGUCUUCUGAGUAACCCUCCAGUCUGUUCUCUGCUGCUGAAGAACAAGGACGAUGAUUCAACUCCUAAACAGUCCCUCGCAAGGGAUCUUGGACUGCUUUCCACGUAUGUGGUCAUCGUCAUGAGUCUCAGCUGCUUGAUCUGAUUCAACAAUUAAUUUUGUUUACAGAUUUUUCUCUAUAUUCCUAAACAUUGUUUUGGGGAAGAAAAAGCCACUUCUUUAAGGUAACUUAUUGUCAUCUUCCUAGACUUAACUUGAUUGCUGACUAUGAAUACAAAGGAUUAGUUCUUUUGAAGAGAAUGCUUCUUAAUUAUACACAGUAGAAAUGUGAUUACUCAUGUUCCUUCAUUAACC
rnacentral:lncRNA from 1 species